CUCUUCACCGCCGCGUCUCAGUCCGCCAGCGCCGCCGUCGCCGUCGCCGCGGAGGGCACCGGGCGAGCGAAGGGUGGAGGGAGCGCCUUUCCCCAGUCCAGGGCCGCGGGCACCUGUGCCAGCCCCUUCCGUUCUUUCGGAACGGCGCCUUCUUACUAAACAGCCCGGAGGUUGGACUGGGAGGGCGGGGGACAGAGGCGGGUCAUGGGCUGAGGGGGAGGGUAGACGAGUGGCGGAAACCCUCAGACCCAGAGAAGCAUCGAGAACCGGAAGGAGACCAUGGGAGGAAGAGACUGAAGUAUAAGGAUGGUAGGAAACAUUUCCACCUACCUGAAGGAACUCAUAAUAUCCAAUCCAGGGAAGUUCAUGAGGAAAAGCCACAGAGGAACCAAAUCUUAUUAUGCUAAACUGAACAAGCUUCAGUAUAAAAGUAUAACAAACA